GAUGAACGCUGGCGGCGUGCUUAACACAUGCAAGUCGAGCGAGAAGUUUUGAAAAGAUUCUUCGGAUGAAAUUUAAAAUGGAAAGCGGCGGACGGGUGAGUAACGCGUAGGCAACCUGCCCCAUACAAAGGGAUAGCAUUUGGAAACGAAUAUUAAUACCUUAUGAAACUUAACUAGUGCAUGCUAGGUAGGUCAAAGAUUUAUCGGUAUGGGAUGGGCCUGCGUCUGAUUAGCUAGUUGGUGAGGUAAUGGCUCACCAAGGCGACGAUCAGUAGCCGACCUGAGAGGGUGAACGGCCACAUUGGAACUGAGACACGGUCCAAACUCCUACGGGAGGCAGCAGUGGGGAAUAUUGCACAAUGGGGGAAACCCUGAUGCAGCAACGCCGCGUGAACGAUGAAGGCCUUUGGGUCGUAAAGUUCUGUUCUAGGUGAUGAAAACUGACAGUAACCUAGGAGAAAGCCCCGGCUAACUCCGUG
rnacentral:rRNA from 1 species